rnacentral:rRNA from 1 species
UGCGCAGGCGGACCUAUUAGUCAGUGGUGAAAUCCCGGGGCUCAACUCCGGAACUGCCAUUGAUACUGUAGGUCUUGAGUUUGGUUGAAGUGGGCGGAAUGUAGCAUGUAGCGGUGAAAUGCAUAGAUAUGCUACAGAACGCCGAUCGCGAAGGCAGCUCACUAAACCAAAACUGACGCUCAGGCACGAAAGCGUGGGUAGCGAACAGGAUUAGAUACCCUGGUAGUCC